CGUAGGUGCAAGCGUUAACUCGGGAAUUACUGGGCGGUAAAGCGUGCGCAGGCGGUUCCGCUAAGACAGAUGUGAAAUCCCCGGGCUUAACCUGGGAACUGCAUUUGUGACUGGCGGGCUAGAGUAUGGCAGAGGGGGGUAGAAUUCCACGUGUAGCAGUGAAAUGCGUAGAGAUGUGGAGGAAUACCGAUGGCGAAGGCAGCCCCCUGGGCCAAUACUGACGCUCAUGCACGAAAGCGUGGGAGCAAACAGGAUU
rnacentral:rRNA from 1 species